rnacentral:rRNA from 1 species
GAUGAACGCUGGCGGCGUGCCUAAUACAUGCAAGUCGGGCGAACAGACGAGGAGCUUGCUCCUCUGACGUUAGCGGCGGACGGGUGAGUAACACGUGGAUAACCUACCUAUAAGACUGGGAUAACUUCGGGAAACCGGAGCUAAUACCGGAUAAUAUAUUGAACCGCAUGGUUCAAUAGUGAAAGACGGUUUUGCUAUCACUUAUAGAUGGAUCCGCGCCGCAUUAGCUAGUUGGUAAGGUAACGGCUUACCAAGGCGACGAUGCGUAGCCGACCUGAGAGGGUGAUCGGCCACACUGGAACUGAGACACGGUCCAGACUCCUACGGGAGGCAGCAGUAGGGAAUCUUCCGCAAUGGGCGAAAGCCUGACGGAGCAACGCCGCGUGAGUGAUGAAGGUCUUCGGAUCGUAAAACUCUGUUAUUAGGGAAGAACAAAUGUGUAAGUAACUAUGCACGUCUUGACGGUACCUAAUCAGAAAGCCACGGCUAACUACGUG